rnacentral:rRNA from 1 species
UACCAGACUCCUACGGGAGGCAGCAGUGGGGAAUCUUCCGCAAUGGGCGAAAGCCUGACGGAGCAACGCCGCGUGAUCGAAUGAAGGCCUUCGGGUUGUAAAGAUCUGUUGACAGGGACGAAUAAGCCAUGCGAAUAGUUUGGUGUAUGACGGUACCUGUUUAGAAAGCUCCGGCUAACUACGUGCCAGCAGCCGCGGUAAUACGGAGGAUGCGAGCGUUAUCCGGAUUUAUUGGGUUUAAAGGGUGCGCAGGCGGCCUGUUAAGUCAGCGGUAAAAGCCCGGGGCUCAACCCCGGCGAGCCGUCGGAACUGGGGGCCUUGAGUGCGGCGGAGGCAUGCGGAAUGCGCGGUGUAGCGGUGAAAUGCAUAGAUAUCGCGCAGAACCCCGAUUGCGAAGGCAGCGUGCCGUGCCGCCACUGACGCUGAGGCACGAAAGCGCGGGGAUCGAACAGGAUUAGAUACCCGGGUAUG